GACGAACGCUGGCGGCGUGCCUAACACAUGCAAGUCGAACGAAGUAUAUUUUCGGAUAUGCUUAGUGGCGGACGGGUGAGUAACGCGUGAACAAUCUGCCCUAUACAAAGGAAUAGCCUCGGGAAACCGGGAUUAAAACCGUAUAACACUUUUGAGUCGCAUGACAUAGAAGUCAAAUUGAUUAAGAGGUAUAGGAUGAGUUCGCGUCUGAUUAGCUAGUUGGUGAGGUAAUGGCUCACCAAGGCGACGAUCAGUAGCCGGCCUGAGAGGGUGAACGGCCACACUGGAACUGAGACACGGUCCAGACUCCUACGGGAGGCAGCAGUGGGGAAUAUUGCACAAUGGGCGAAAGCCUGAUGCAGCGACGCCGCGUGAGUGAAGAAGGUCUUCGGAUCGUAAAACUCUGUCCUUGGGGAAGAAAAUGACGGUACCCAAGGAGGAAGCCCCGGCUAACUACGUGCCAGCCGCCGCGGUAACAC
rnacentral:rRNA from 1 species